CUCCGGUUGAUCCUGCCGGACCUGACUGCUAUCGGAUUGGUACUAAGCCAUGCGAGUCGUUGUAGCAAUACAAGGCGGACGGCUCAGUAACACGUAGUCAACCUAACCUAUGGACGUGGAUAACCUCGGGAAACUGAGAAUAAACCACGAUAGAUCAUUAUGCCUGGAAUGGCUUAUGGUUCAAACAAUUUAUUGCCGUAGGAUGGGACUGCGGCCUAUCAGCUUGUUGGUGAGGUAAUGGCCCACCAAGGCUAUAACAGGUACGGGCUCUGAGAGGAGAAGCCCGGAGAUGGGUACUGAGACACGGACCCAGGCCCUAUGGGGCGCAGCAGGCGAGAAACCUUAGCAAUGUGCGAAAGCACGACUAGGUUAAUCCGAGUGAUUUCUGUUGAAGAAAUCUUUUGUCAGUCGUAAAACCACAGACGAAUAAGGGGUGGGCAAGUCUGGUGUCAGCCGCCGCGGUAAUACCAGCACCUCGAGUGGUCAGGAGGUUUAUUGGGCCUAAAGCAUCCGUAGCCGGCUACGCAAGUCUCCGGUUAAAUCCAGCUGCUCAACAGAUGGGCUGCCGGAGAUACUACAUAGCUAGGGAGCGGGAGAGGUAGACGGUAUUCUGUGGGUAGGGGUAAAAUCCACUGAUCCAUAGAGGACCACCAGUGGCGAAGGCGGUCUACCAGAACGCGUUCGACGGUGAGGGAUGAAAGCUGGGGGAGCAAACCGGAUUAGAUACCCGGGUAGUCCCAGCUGUAAACGAUGCAAACUCGGUGAUGCAUUGGCUUAUGGCCAAUGCAGUGCCGCAGGGAAGCCGUUAAGUUUGCCGCCUGGGAAGUACGGACGCAAGUCUGAAACUUAAAGGAAUUGGCGGGGGAGCA
rnacentral:rRNA from 1 species